CACAACACAUGCUCCUUUCUGAUUUUGCUUGAGACAGGCUGGGCAUCCUCUCCACUUUUUGACGACCUAAAUAAAGAAACCAACAGAUAAACAGUGCAAGCGGUGUCUGCCAGCGUGGGAUAUGUCACGUAUUUUAAGGGAACACCAUGCUUCUCCAUUUCUUCUUAAAACUGAUCUGCCUUGAGUCUUGCUUUUCAGCCUUGGCUAACAGCGGGGCAAUCCUGACCUGUGUAUGCCCCUGCUUACCUUAUCUCGUGUUGAAUUUUUUAAAAGCCCUCCUGACAAGGAAGGAUUAAGCUUAUAGAUGCUACAGCCAGACUGCCUGCAGUAUGAUCCCCGACUCAACCACUUCGACCCACAGUUUCUCCACCACUUUCUUAACCUGCCUGAGUUUCCUCAUUGGUGAAAUGGAAAUACUACCAGUGAGCUACCACAAGGAGCUGCCGUGAGGAUUAAAUGGGCUAAUGUAUUUAAAGCUCUUAUAAUGGUGUGAGGCUGCCUCUUAGUCUGGUGACAAGAACAAGCAAAGGGACUCUGGAUUGGGGUUACUGGGAAAGGAUGUGGCUACACUAUUGAAGGCCGGGGAUUAAGGGUAUGUUUAUAAACUGUGUAUUGAGACGUCCUCAAUCUUCUUUCUCCAUUUGGCUCCCAGAAUGCUGUUAGCCGGGUGUAUGUUCUCUUAGCAAAAGUCUGGAAGUAUUUGCUGGGCAGUAAACCAAGAAAGAGAAAGACAUAGGAAUCAGGUGAAAACAUCUAAGACUAGACAGAGAUGAAUAGAAUCCCUAGGACGAUGAUGAAGGCAGCGUCAGUCUCCUAACUAGAGCUCAUGCUAGAGAGCAUCCAGUCCAGAUGGAAGCAAGUCAGAUCUCCUCCAGAAGAUUGUUAGAGUCCCUGAUGCAUUUGAAUAUAUUCAAAGGAGAUUUACACAAUUAAGAUAGAAUUUGAAUCAGUAAUAAAUACAGAGAAAAUUAAGUAAAAAACAAGAAAAUAAUAAAGACAGUGAUUCCGGGGAAAGUAGGAGGUAGUGUAGGUAAAAAAAAAAGUGGUCACUGUGAUCUACAGGCAUUAGCUGUGAAUAGCAUUUGCCUCUACAUAAUUAUGUAAACACU